rnacentral:lncRNA from 1 species
AGAGCAGGGAGUUAAUUCCAGAUAAAUAACCAGGACAGUUCUUGCUUUCUUUUAGGAACGACCCAGGCCCAUACUUCCCCUGGAGAGAACACAUUGGAAGAGCAGCUGUGGCCAGAGGGGCAGAGCCUGAAGAGUUUUUCAUUCUUUUGCAACCCAGAGAAUGUGCCUUCUCCAGGAUCCAGCGUGCCUUCUAACUCAGGUACGUGACCCUGAGCCAUGAGCCAGGAAGGCCAGCGUCUUCUCUCU